rnacentral:tRNA from 1 species
GUAAAAUGGCCGAUUUAAGCAGUAAACUGUAAAUUUACUUAUGAAAUAAUUAUUUCUUUUACCAA